CCCUGACAGUGCUACUUAAUGAAAAACAGAAGCAAGAAAAAGCAAUCAAAGGCAAAAAGAAGAAGAAAGGAGCUGUACUUGGUGGUGGUAUGAAAGCCAAGGGAAAAGAUGACCUUGCAGACUAUGGAGGAUUCGAUGGUGGCUACACCCAAGACUAUGAUGACUUCAUGUGACCACAGCUAUAUCCCCACUGCCUUUUUUACCCUUUAACCUCAGAAAUGCAGCUGUACUUCUCAUGCUGUCCAGUGUCAUCCUGGAAAAACCUGAACAAUGUGUCGCCCUUUCAUUUUGCUUCAAUGAUCCGAGGGACAAUACAGGGAGCAUCCAGUACCAACACUUCUGUUAAUACAUAAUGAAAUGGCCUUUUCUCUCAUUCAGCCUCCAAACUUCAUAAAGAUACAAAACACAGUGAAAAAUA